UAUCUUAGGUGUACCCUGCCCGGUGAUAUUUUUUAACGGCCGCAGUACUCUGACUGUGCUAAGGUAGCAUAAUAAUUUGUCUUUUAAUUAAAGACUGGAAUAAACGGGUGUUUAAUGGAAGUCUAUCUAUUAAUGUAAAAUAGUAAAAUUACUGAUAAGGUGAAAAUACCUUAGCUAUCUUCUANUUAGACGAGAAGACCCUUAGAGUUUAACCUAUAUUUUGUUGGGGCGACAAGAAUGCACAAACCCACUCUUGACUAUAUUUCUAUCUAUCUAUAAUAUAUUAAAAAACAAACUACCUAAGGGAUAACAGCAUAAUUUUUUANUAAGAUUAUGACCUCGAUGUUGGAUUAAGGGCUUAUAUACUAGUAGUUUAAUAANGAUUGUUCUGUUCGAACA
rnacentral:rRNA from 1 species